rnacentral:rRNA from 1 species
GAAUAUUGCGCAAUGGGCGAAAGCCUGACGCAGCGACGCCGCGUGCGGGACGAAGGCCUUCGGGUCGUAAACCGCUGUCGGGAGGGACGAAUUCAUGACGGUACCUCCAAAGGAAGCACCGGCUAACUCCGUGCCAGCCGCCGCGGUAAUACAGAGGGUGCGAGCGUUGUCCGGAAUCACUGGGCGUAAAGGGCGCGUAGGUGGCUUGGUAAGUAGGGGGUGAAAUCUUGCGGCUCAACCGCAAGACUGCCUUCUAGACUGCCUGGCUUGAGCACAGUAGAGGCAGGUGGAAUUCCCGGUGUAGCGGUGGAAUGCGUAGAGAUCGGGAAGAACAUCGGUGGCGAAGGCGGCCUGCUGGGCUGUUGCUGACACUGAGGCGCGACAGCGUGGGGAGCAAACAGG